UGGGGAAUUGUUCGCAACGGGCGCAAGCCUGACGACGCAACGCCGCGUGGAGGACGAAGAUCUUCGGGUCGUAAACUCCUGUCGAGCGGGAAGAAACCCGCGGGGAUGAAUAAUCCUCGUGGCUGACGGUACCGCUCAAGGAAGCCCCGGCUAACUCCGUGCCAGCAGCCGCGGUAAUACGGGGGGGGCAAGCGUUGUUCGGAAUUACUGGGCGUAAAGGGCCAGUAGGCGGCCAACUAAGUCGGAUGUGAAAUCCCCAGGCUCAACCUGGGAACUGCAUCCGAUACUGGAUGGCUUGAAUUCGGGAGAGGGAUGCAGAAUUCCAGGUGUAGCGGUGAAAUGCGUAGAUAUCUGGAGGAAUACCGGUGGCGAAGGCGGCAUCCUGGACCGACAUUGACGCUGAACGGCGAAAGCUAGGGGAGCAAA
rnacentral:rRNA from 1 species